rnacentral:rRNA from 1 species
CCUACGGGAGGCAGCAGUGGGGAAUAUUGCACAAUGGGGGAAACCCUGAUGCAGCGACGCCGCGUGAGUGAAGAAGUAAUUCGUUAUGUAAAGCUCUAUCAGCAGGGAAGAAAAUGACGGUACCUGAGUAAGAAGCCCCGGCUAACUACGUGCCAGCAGCCGCGGUAAUACGGAGGGGGCAAGCGUUAUCCGGAUUUACUGGGGGUAAAGGGAGCGUAGACGGCAGUGCAAGUCUGGUGUGAAAGGCUGGGGCUCAACCCACGGACUGCUGUGGAAACUGUACGGCUGGAGUGCAGGAGAGGUAGGCGGAAUUCCUGGUGUAGCGGUGAAAUGCGUAGAUAUUAGGAAGAACACCAGUGGCGAAGGCAGCUUACUAAACUGUAACUGACGUUGAGGCUCGAAAGCGUGGGGAGCAAACAGGAUUAGAUACCCUUGUAGUC